GGAAUUCUUUGAGGUGUGGCCUGUCAGGCAGGUGUCCUGUGCAGACAACCAUGUGGUGGUGCUGACCCACAGGGGAGACAUCUACUCCUGGGGCUGUGGAGAGCCCGGUAUGUACCAGAACAGCGUAUACUGAGCUACACAGCAGUACUGUAUGUCUACCACCAUGCCUCCCUCAAGCUCCAUAUCCGUUGUCCCACCUUAUUUUGCCAGUAGAUGGAGCUAUGAUGAAGGACAUUAUUCAUUCAUGAAGUUGGCCUUUUCCUCAGUCUUGACCAGGACUGUGAGGAUGACUUUAACUCCCUCACGCAAGUAAGAUCCUGCCCUCUAGUUUCCAGCAGAGAGCUUGAACAUAUCAUUUAAUUCUGCUCAUGGGGAAAGGGGCAAUGACUUCUCAAUUUCAUCAUCCAGACAAAUUCAUGAAAAUGUGUUUGAAUGCACCAUUUAAAUCGAUAGGAAGCAUAAUGUUGUGUAUCGUCUGGCGUUCACAGGUGGAGAUUCCCAAAAGAGCCAGUAUCUCAUCUGUGGCCUUGAUGGAACCUUCUGGCAAAGUCCUGGCCUGUGGGAACAAUAAUCAACCCUGUAGUCUCUGGCCUCAAACCUUCCUGGAGAGACAGUCAGAUCUUUGCCUGGGGAAAAGCAGGAAAUGUGGAUGCCUGGGAAUGCUUUACCACAACCCAUUUUAG
ensembl:lncRNA